rnacentral:rRNA from 1 species
UACGGAGGAGGCAAGCGUUAUCCGGAAUCACUGGGCGUAAAGCGUCUGUAGGUGGUCAAAUAAGUCAACUGUUAAAUCUUGAGGCUCAACCUCAAAAUCGCAGUCGAAACUAUUAGACUAGAGUAUAGUAGGGGUAAAGGGAAUUUCCAGUGGAGCGGUGAAAUGCGUAGAUAUUGGAAAGAACACCGAUGGCGAAGGCACUUUACUGGGCUAUUACUAACACUCAGAGACGAAAAGCUAGGGUAGCAAAUGGGG